UACGUAGGGUGCAAGCGUUGCCCGGAUUUAUUGGGCGUAAAGGGCGCGUAGGCGGCUCGGCACGUCCGUUGUGAAAUCGCCCGGCUCAACUGGGCGGGGUCAGCGGAUACGGCCGAGCUUGAGCAAGCUAGGGGGCAAUGGAAUUCCCGGUGUAGUGGUGGAAUGCGUAGAUAUCGGGAAGAACACCCGUGGCGAAGGCGGUUCUCUGGGACGGUACUGACGCUGAGACGCGAAAGCGUGGGGAGCGAACAGG
rnacentral:rRNA from 1 species